rnacentral:rRNA from 1 species
ACGCCUGCCCAGUGAACAAUUAAACGGCCGCGGUACCCUAACCGUGCAAAGGUAGCAUAAUAAUUUGUCUACUAAUUAUAGACCUGUAUGAAAGGCAAAAUGAGGGCUUAACUGUCUCUUAUAAUAAAUCAAUUAAACUGAUCUUCUAGUAAAAAAGCUAGAAUUACUACAUAAGACCAGAAGACCCUGUGAAGCUUAAACUAAACUAUUAAAUCUAAUAAUAACUACUUUAGGUUGGGGCGACCUUGGAAAAAAGAAUAACUUCCAAAAGUCUAAUGACAAACUAGGCCAACAAGCCAUAUAAAGACCCAGCAAAGCUGAAAAUUGAACCAAGUUACUCCAGGGAUAACAGCGCUAUCUUCUUCAAGAGCCCAUAUCAAAAAGAAGGUUUACGACCUCGAUGUUGGAUCAGGACAUCCUAAUGGUGCAGAAGCUAUUAAGGGUUCGUUUGUUCAACGAUUAACAGUCCUACGUGAUCUGAGUUAGAACCGGAUGUUCAACGAUUAAAGUCCUACGUGAUCUGAGUUCAGACCGGAGAA